rnacentral:ncRNA from 1 species
UGUUAAAAUUUUAUAUAAUAAUUUAUUUUAUUAUAGAAUUUUAUUUAAUUAAAAAAAUAUAUGAAAAUUAUUAUUUGUUAAUUUAUUCUUAAUGAAUUUUAAUAAAACUCAGUAUUUAAUAUUAAAAAUUAAUGAAAAUUAGAUUUAAUUAUUAAUUUAAGCAUAAACUAAAUAUGUGCCAGCAGUUGCGGUUAAACAUAAUAUGUAAGUAAAAUAGAUUAGUUAUUAGUAUUAAAUAAUAAAAAUAAUUUAAUUUUUUUUGUAAAGUAAAAUUUAAUUUGAAAUUAAUAUUAUAAUUAUUUUAUUCUAUUAAAUUUUAGUUGAAACUAGGAUUAGAUACCCUAUUAUAAAAAUUUAAAAUUUAUUACUGAAAAAUUAAUAGUUAAGUUCUUUAAAUUUAAAAAAUUUGGCGGUAUUUUAGUCUUAUUAGAGGAACCUGUUUUUUAAUUGAUAAUCCACGAUUUAUUUUACUUAAUUUUUAAAUUCAUAUAUCGCUGUCAUGAAUAUAUUUAAAAAUUUAUUUUCUUUAAUUAAUUUAAUAAUGUAUGUUAAGUCAAGAUGUGGUUAAUAAUUAAGAAAGUAAUGGGUUACAAUGAAUUUAAUUUUUGGAUUCUAUCAUGUAAAAUUUAGAUGAAAUUGAAUUUAAUAGUAAAUUUAUUAAUUUUUUUAAUAUGAAUAUAGAUCUAAAAUAUGUACAUAUUGCCCGUCAUUCUUAUAAAAAAUAAGACAAGUCGUAACAAAGUAAAUGUACUGGAAAGUGUAUUUAGAAAGA